rnacentral:rRNA from 1 species
CCCCCCCCCCCGAAAGCCCUACUUUAACACCCGUUAACCUAACACAAGAGCAUUUCAAGAAAGAUUAAAAAAUAAAGAAGGAAUUCCGCAAGCACUAGUCCCGCCUGUUUACCAAAAACAUCGCCUCUUGUCCACACAUAAGAGGUCCAGCCUGCCCAGUGACUCUGUUUAACGGCCGCGGUAUCCUGACCGUGCAAAGGUAGCGUAAUCACUCGUCUUCUAAAUAAAGGCUAGUAUGAAAGGCAUCACGAGGACUAAACUGUCUCCUUUAUUCAAUCAGUGAACCUAAUAACCCCGUGAAGAAGCGAGGAUUUUUAUAUAAGACGAGAAGACCCUGUGGAGCUUAAAACAUCAUAUCACCUGCCUCCCCACCCAUAUACUCCGGUUAACCCACUCCUUGGCACACUGAUUGUAUGUUUUUGGUUGGGGUGACCGCGGAGAAAAACCUAUCCUCCGCAAUGAUAAAAUCUCUAUACACCAAGCCACAACUUUAUGUAUCAGCAAACUGCCAUAAUUGACCCAAUACAUUUGAUUAACGAACCAAGUUACCCCAGGGAUAACAGCGCAAUCCACUUUGAGAGCCCAUAUCGAC